UACGUAGGGUGCAAGCGUUGUCCGGAAUUAUUGGGCGUAAAGAGCUCGUAGGCGGUUUGUCGCGUCUGCUGUGAAAACGCGAGGCUCAACCUCGCGCCUGCAGUGGGUACGGGCAGACUAGAGUGCGGCAGGGGAGAACGGAAUUCCCGGUGUAGCGGUGAAAUGCGCAGAUAUCGGGAGGAACACCGGUGGCGAAGGCGGUUCUCUGGGCCUGUACUGACGCUGAGGAGCGAAAGCGUGGGGAGCGAACAGG
rnacentral:rRNA from 1 species